rnacentral:rRNA from 1 species
UGCCAGCAGCCGCGGUAAUACGAAGGGACCUAGCGUAGUUCGGAAUUACUGGGCUUAAAGAGUUCGUAGGUGGUUGAAAUAGUUGGUGGUGAAAUCCCAGAGCUUAACUCUGGAACUGCCAUCAAAACUUUUCAGCUAGAGUAUGAUAGAGGAAAGCAGAAUUUCUAGUGUAGCGGUGAAAUGCGUAGAUAUCAGAAGGAAUACCAAUGGCGAAGGCAGCUCUCUGGCUCGUCACUGACGCUGAGGUGCGAAAGCGUGGGUAGCAAACAGGAUUAGAUA